rnacentral:snRNA from 1 species
NCCAUGAUCAGGCAGGUGGUUUUCCCAGGGCGAGGCUCAUCCCUUGCACUCCGGGUGUGCUGACCCCUGCGAUUUCCCCAAAUGCGGGAAACUCGACUGCAUAAUUUGUGGUAGUGGGGGACUGCGUUCGCGCUCUCCCCUG